GGGGAGUGGUUGGAAGGAGGGCCCAGAGCUGGUGGGCCCAGAGGGGUGGGCCCAAGCCUCGCUCUGCUCCUUUUGGUCCAGGUGCGGUCGCUGGUGGCUGUGGGCACCCCAGACUACCUGUCCCCCGAGAUCCUGCAGGCUGUGGGCGGUGGGCCUGGGACAGGCAGCUACGGGCCCGAGUGUGACUGGUGGGCGCUGGGUGUAUUCGCCUAUGAAAUGUUCUAUGGGCAGACGCCCUUCUACGCGGAUUCCACGGCGGAGACCUAUGGCAAGAUCGUCCACUACAAGGAGCACCUCUCUCUGCCGCUGGUGG
rnacentral:lncRNA from 1 species